rnacentral:rRNA from 1 species
AUUACUGGGCGUAAAGCGCGUGUAGGCGGCCUAAUAAGUCGGAUGUGAAAUCCCGGGGCUCAACCCUGGAACUGCAUUCGAUACUGUUAGGCUUGAGUACGGGAGAGGGAAGUGGAAUUCCUGGUGUAGAGGUGAAAUGCGUAGAUAUUAGGAGGAACACCGGUGGCGAAGGCGGCUUCCUGGACCGUUACUGACGCUGAGACGCGAAAGCGUGGGGAGCAAACGGGAUUAGAUACCCCGGUAGUCCACGCCGUAAACGGUGAGCACUAGGUGUUGGGGGUUUCGACCCUUUCGGUGCCGGCGCUAACGCAUUAAGUGCACCGCCUGGGGAGUACGGCCGCAAGGCUAAAACUCAAAGGAAUUGACGG